rnacentral:rRNA from 1 species
UACGAAGGGGGCUAGCGUUGCUCGGAAUUACUGGGCGUAAAGGGCGCGUAGGCGGCCCGCUAAGUCGAACGUGAAAUCCCCGAGCUCAACUCGGGAACUGCGUCCGAUACUGGCGGGCUUGAAUCCGGGAGAGGGAUGCGGAAUUCCAGGUGUAGCGGUGAAAUGCGUAGAUAUUCGCAAGAACACCAGUGGCGAAGGCGAACUUCCUGGCCUGUUCUUGACGCUGA